rnacentral:rRNA from 1 species
UACGUAGGGGGCAAGCGUUGUCCGGAAUCAUUGGGCGUAAAGCGCGUGUAGGCGGCUGACUAAGUCCGCUCUGAAAGCCCGGGGCUCAACCCCGGGAGGCGGGUGGAUACUGGUCAGCUCGAGUCCGGAAGAGGAGUGUGGAAUUCCUGGUGUAGCGGUGAAAUGCGCAGAUAUCAGGAGGAACACCAAUGGCGAAGGCAGCACUCUGGGACGUGACUGACGCUGAGACGCGAAAGCGUGGGGAGCAAACAGG